ensembl:snoRNA U3 Small nucleolar RNA U3
AAGACUAUACUUUCGGGGAUCCUUUCUAUAGUUUGUUACUAGAGAAAGCUAAAGGGGAGUUCCGCUUCCCGACUGUUGGGAGCCCC